ACAUGUCCCAGCGGGCCUUGUCGGCCUUUAGGUUGAGCCGAGGGUCUUCUCUUCAUAACAAGAUUUUCGACAUGUGUAUUUUUAAUUAAAUCUUCCUCCAUGUCUGUAUACACGCUGAAUGAAAGAAUGCAAUUGCAUGCGUAUAAUUUAUUUAUCAGCUUCUUGGGAUAUGCCUCACUCCUUAAAACCAAUGAUGUACAGCUCCACAAGGAUUGCACAGAACUCACAAAACCAGAAACAUGUUGCAGCAUUGAAGAAAACCAUUUGGAUCUUGCCCCAACUGGCCAAAAGUGGACUAAUAAGUGAAUGCUUCUAACCUUGGUCCUUUUAACAGUUUGUGUUUAUAAAGGUACUUUUUACAUGUGAA